GAAAGACGUCGCUGUUCUGAUAUGAAGAGCUACCAUAUUUGAAAAUCACGAUUUGAAUAUCCUGUUUAUUUGAACAUUUGCGCAGGGCAUUUCCCUAUAUGGCCUCUUUCAGCUUAGGCCAAAGUGGCGCACAACCUGUUAUGCAAUGCAGCAUGCAUCUGCCAUUUUGUAUUUAUAUACACUGUGCCAUUUUGCACCCAUUUUGAAGUGAAGUUACUUCGAUUACUUCGGAGGGUGUGGACGUGGAGUUGGUGUCAGUGUGGAGGUUAUGUUGAUGUUGCAGGUUGGCGUCAGUCUCCACUAUCCAAUCACAGAUGGAUACCAAACGAGGGCGCAUAGCUGGAUCAUAUGGGAGAGGAUGCUGCUUGCUGCUCUCC